AAAAUAUUGUGCUAUGUUAUGUCUCUCAUUCUUUUAUUUUUGCUUUCACUGACAUAUAACCCUGCUGCCUGGCCUGUUGGCUGUGCAGGUUGUCAUAUGGAAUAAAAGAGGAGGCUCGUGAUCCUAUUCCCAUCAAGCCAAACAGGCCGAUUACGUCGUCCUUUUUUCGCAUUCAUGGAGGAGUUUAGGAAGCAAUACAAACUGGAGCACCCUAACAAUAAGUCAUUUGGUGAAGUCCCCAAAGCCGCUUCAGAGAAGUGGAGAGCCAUGUCUGAUCUUGAAAAGGCUCCCUUCAUCAAAAUUACAGAGAAGAAAAAGGCUGAAUAUGAAAAAGCGUUGCAAGUAUACUAUAGAAAAAUGGUAAUACGCUUUUAGUAGCUCACUUAUUAUUUAUAAUUGAUGUUAUUACAUUGUCAAACCAGUUUCUUAAUUGAAAGGAUGAAUAUUAGGAGACAUGUAUGAAGUGUUGUAAAAAUGGUGUCUAAAACAAUAGUCAACAAAAUUAAACAAGAACAAAAGCAAAAGAGGAAAUUCGGUGUGGCAUGAAGAAUCACUGUCUUUGAAAACGAAUUCCGGCGCAACCGGGGUGCACCAUUGUAAUCGUCAGAUCGUCUCCUAAGGUUACACACCACUCUCACACUAAGGCACUUUAGAGUGAGAGGUGGAGUCUAUGAAAACUUAUGCCCAAAGAAAGAAUGUGUUUAACUUGUGUUUAUAAUUUCAGUGUACUAAUCCGAAAAAUCAGCCUUUAACAUAUUUAGAAGAAUGAAGGAAGAUGGAAGACCAAGGUGAAGUCAAUGGAGCAAAAAUCAGAAAUAACCAUGGUGAUUUAAUCACCAUAAAACCCUCUUAAAUGGGGGGUUACAAGGAAUAAAACAAGAAAAGAAUCCAAGAAAGCUAUUGGAGUCCAACAGCUGAGAUUGCGGGCGGAGCUUUGCGCGGUCGGGCGAGCACCCAGUCAAAUUCUCGGUUGCUUUAGCGCCCGGUCGGGGAAAGCGCGCCCGGUCCAGCAGAGCUCCCCCGAUCGGGUGACGGAACUCCAGUUUUUACGAUUCCUCUCCCGCCUUGGCGGGCGCCCAGGUCAGACUACUUUGAUUUCCUUCUUUAUUCCAACAUGAAGGAGUCACGAUCUAAACGUAGUGUGGAUGGGGAAACAGUCAGGAUAAUGGAGUAGCCUAACCUCUCUUGGUCAAAUGUUUGAAGAUAAUAAGUUGCAAAUUUUCAAUUGAGAUCAAAGUCAUGUAUUCUCUG